UACAGAGGGUGCGAGCGUUGUUCGGAAUUACUGGGCGUAAAGGGCUCGUAGGCGGCCAACUAAGUCAUACGUGAAAUCCCUCGGCUUAACCGGGGAACUGCGUCUGAUACUGGAUGGCUUGAGUUCGGGAGAGGGAUGCGGAAUUCCAGGUGUAGCGGUGAAAUGCGUAGAUAUCUGGAGGAACACCGGUGGCGAAGGCGGCAUCCUGGACCGAUACUGACGCUGAGGAGCGAAAGCCAGGGGAGCAAACGGG
rnacentral:rRNA from 1 species